rnacentral:rRNA from 1 species
UACGGGGGGGGCAAGCGUUGUUCGGAAUUACUGGGCGUAAAGGGCUCGUAGGCGGCCAACUAAGUCAGACGUGAAAUCCCUCGGCUUAACCGGGGAACUGCGUCUGAUACUGGAUGGCUUGAGUUUGGGAGAGGGAUGCGGAAUUCCAGGUGUAGCGGUGAAAUGCGUAGAUAUCUUGAGGAACACCGGUGGCGAAGGCGGCAUCCUGGACCAACACUGACGCUGAGUGAGCGAAAGCCAGGGGAGCAAACAGG